AUCGAGACUCAUCAGACCAGGCAACGUUUUUCCAAUCUUCUAUUGUCCAAUUUCGAUGAGCUUGUGCAAAUUGUAGCCUCAGUUUCCUGUUCUUAGCUGAAAGGAGUGGCACCCGGUGUGGUCUUCUGCUGCUGUAGCCCAUCUGCCUCAAAGUUAGACGUACUGUGCAUUCAGAGAUGCUCUUCUGCCUACCUUGGUUAUAACGGGUGGUUAUUUGAGUCACUAGCCACGUUUACAUGCAGACUUUUUUCUCAUUCGGAUUAUAAUCAUUCCGAUUGAAGCUCCCAGGCGAACUGUUUACAUGGAAGUGAUCUAUUCUGAUCUGGUGUUUACAUGUGCCACGGCAUUCAAUCGGAACAGCUAUUUACAGACACGUGAUACCUUCAAACAUCACGUGAUUGAUUGAUCACGUGAUCUCCGACGCAGACCAGUGCAUCGCGCUCUGCUUGGAAGCCGCCAUCAUGUUUCCAUGUGAGUCAUACGUCACUGCUUGUUCACAUCAGGACAGAGCAUGCGCAGACAGAACCCAGCCUGACAACUUUCCGAUUCACCGUUUACAUGACAGGAUUUUGCUUUUAAUUGGAAUGGGAAAAGGAAAAUUCUACCCCUGUGAAUCGGAAUGAAAUUCCAUUCGGAAUGGGCCUGUUUAUUCUGAAUGAGGUGUUUAUAUGGAGCAUUUUCAUUCCGAUUGGGCUUCUAAUCCGAUUAUAUUCGGAAUAUUUGGCUCCAUGUAAACGUAGCUACUGUUGCCUUUCUAUCAGCUCGAACCAGUCUGGCCAUUCUCCUCUGACCUCUGGCAUCAACAAGGCAUUUCCGCCCACAGAACUGCCGCUCACUGGAUAUUUUUUCUUUUUCGGACCAUUCUCUGUAAACCCUAGAGAUGGUUGUGCGUGAAAAUCCCAGUAGAUCAGCAGUUUCUGAAAUACUCAGACCAGCCCUUCUGGCACCAACAACCAUGCCACGUUCAAAGUCACUCAUAUCAC